rnacentral:rRNA from 1 species
UACAUAGGGGGCAAGCGUUAUCCGGAAUUAUUGGAUGUAAAGGGUGCGUAGACGGAGAAACAAGUUGGUUGUGAAAUCCCUCGGCUCAACCGAGGAACUGCAACCAAAACUAUUUCCCUUGAGUGUCGGAGAGGAAAGUGGAAUUCCUAGUGUAGCGGUGAAAUGCGUAGAUAUUAGGAGGAACACCAGUGGCGAAGGCGACUUUCUGGACGAUAACUGACGUUGAGGCACGAAAGUGUGGGGAGCAAACAGG